rnacentral:rRNA from 1 species
AAAGACUUAGUCCUAACCUUACUGUUAGCUCGUGCUAAACCUAUACAUGCAAGUAUCCGCGCCCCAGUGUAAAUGCCCUUAGCCUCUUAUUAAGAUGACAGGAGCUGGCAUCAGGCACACCCUUCACGUCCGUAGCCCAAGACGCCUUGCUUAGCCACACCCCCACGGGCACUCAGCAGUAAUUAACGUUAAGCAAUAAGUGUAAACUUGACUUAGUUAUAGCAUACCCUAGGGUUGGUAAAUCUUGUGCCAGCCACCGCGGUCAUACAAGAGACCCAAGCUAACAACGUUCGGCGUAAAGAGCGGGUCCUUACUAUCUAAGUAACUAGGGCUAAAUCGCAACUGAGCCGUCAUAAGCCCAAGAUGUGCCUAAAGCCGCCACCUAAGACGACCCUAGCACCUACGAUUGACUAACCCCCGCGGAAGCCAGGGUCC